GGGAAGAUGGCUCAGUGGUAGAGUGCUUGCCUUGCAUGCAUGAGGCCCUGUGUUUGACUCAGUACCCC
rfam:Dipodomys ordii contig_63576, whole genome shotgun sequence.